UUCUUCAGGAGAUCCUAAGAGUGAGGAC
rnacentral:piRNA from 1 species